rnacentral:rRNA from 1 species
GAGUUUGAUCCUGGCUCAGAGCGAACGCUGGCGGCAGGCUUAACACAUGCAAGUCGAGCGGGCCCUUCGGGGUCAGCGGCAGACGGGUGAGUAACACGUGGGAACGUGCCCUUCGGUUCGGAAUAACUCAGGGAAACUUGAGCUAAUACCGGAUACGCCCUUUUGGGGAAAGGUUUACUGCCGAAGGAUCGGCCCGCGUCUGAUUAGCUAGUUGGUGGGGUAAUGGCCCACCAAGGCGACGAUCAGUAGCUGGUCUGAGAGGAUGAUCGGCCACACUGGGACUGAGACACGGCCCAGACUCCUACGGGAGGCAGCAGUGGGGAAUAUUGGACAAUGGGCGCAAGCCUGAUCCAGCCAUGCCGCGUGAGUGAUGAAGGCCUUAGGGUUGUAAAGCUCUUUCGACGGGGACGAUAAUGACGGUACCCGUAGAAGAAGCCCCGGCUAACUUCGCG